rnacentral:rRNA from 1 species
CCUACGGGAGGCAGCAGUAAGGAAUAUUGGUCAAUGGACGCAAGUCUGAACCAGCCAUGCCGCGUGGAGGAUGAAGGUCUCUGGAUUGUAAACUUCUUUUCUCUGGGACGAAACCCCCGAUUUCCAUCGGGCCUGACGGUACCAGAGGAAUAAGCACCGGCUAACUCCGUGCCAGCAGCCGCGGUAAUACGGAGGGUGCAAGCGUUAUCCGGAUUCACUGGGUUUAAAGGGUGCGUAGGCGGGUUUGUAAGUCAGUGGUGAAAUCCCCGAGCUUAACUUGGGAACUGCCAUUGAUACUGCAAGUCUUGAAUUUUCUGGAGGUAAGCGGAAUAUGUCAUGUAGCGGUGAAAUGCUUAGAUAUGACAUAGAACACCCAUUGCGAAGGCAGCUUACUACGGGAAUAUUGACGCUGAGGCACGAAAGCGUGGGGAUCAAACAGGAUUAGAUACCCUGGUAGUCCACGCCCUAAACGAUGAUCACUCGACAUUAGCGAUAUUACGGUUAGUGUCUAAGCGAAAGCAUUAAGUAAUCCACCUGGGAAGUACGACCGCAAGGUUGAAACUCAAAGGAAUUGACGG